rnacentral:rRNA from 1 species
AUACGGAAGGUCCGGGCGUUAUCCGGAUUUAUUGGGUUUAAAGGGAGCGCAGGCGGAGAUGCAAGCGUGACGUCAAAUUUCGGGGCUCAACCCCGUCUCGCGUCGCGAACUGCGUCCCUUGGUUGCGGGAAGGGGAGGCGGAACUCGUGGUGUAGCGGUGAAAUGCAUAGAUAUCACGAAGAACUCCGAUCGCGACAGCAGCCUUCCGGCCCGUCAACGACGCUCAUGCUCGAUGGUGCGAGUAUCAAACAGAAUUAGAUACCCUGGUAGGCCGCACAGUAAACGAUGGACACCCUCGGUUUGGCCUAUAUGGCUGAGCCGCCAAGCGAAAGCGUUAAGUGUCCCACCUGGGGAGUACGCCGGCAACGGUGAAACUCAAAUGAAUUGACGG